rnacentral:rRNA from 1 species
UACGUAGGUGACCAGCGUUGUCCGGAUUUACUGGGCGUAAAGAGCGCGCAGGCGGUCGUUCAAGUCGAGUGUGAAAGCCCCCGGCUCAACUGGGGAGGGUCACUCGAUACUGAUCGACUUGAAGGCAGGAGAGGGAAGCGGAAUUCCCGGUGUAGUGGUGAAAUGCGUAGAGAUCCGGAGGAACACCAGCGGCGAAGGCGGCAUCCUGGACUGGUCCUGACACUCAUGAGCGAAAGCGUGGGGAGCGAUCCGG